GACGAACCGUGCGAACGUUAUUCGGAAUCACUGGGCUUAAAGGGCGCGUAGGCGGUCCGGCGCGUCCGGGGUGAAAGCCUCCAGCUUAACUGGAGAAGUGCCCCGGAUACGGCCGGACUCGAGUGGGGUAGGGGCGUGUGGAACUUCCGGUGGAGCGGUGAAAUGCGUAGAUAUCGGAAGGAACGCCGGUGGCGAAAGCGGCACGCUGGACCCCUUCUGACGCUGAGGCGCGAAAGCCAGGGGAGCGAACGGG
rnacentral:rRNA from 1 species